CAGCCGCCGCGGUAAUACGGGGGGGGCAAGUGUUAUUCGGAAUGACUGGGCGUAAAGGGCACGUAGGCGGUGAAAAGGGUGGAAAGUGAAAGUCGCCAAAACACUGGCGGGGUGCUCUCUUGACCAUUUCACUUGAGUGAGAUAGGGGAGAGUGGAGUUUCGUGUGGAGGGAUCAAAUCCUAAGAUAUACGAAGGAACGCCAACCGCGAAGGCAGCUCUCUGGGUCCCCACUGACGCUGGGGUGCGAAAGCAUGGGGAGCAAACAGGAUCAGAUACCCGCUAGUCCCUGUCUCUUAUACAC
rnacentral:rRNA from 1 species